AGCUUCGGCCAUCCGGCGAGGGACGGGCCCGCGGUGCAUUAGCUAGUUGGUGGGGUAAUGGCUCACCAAGGCGACGAUGCAUAGCUGGUCUGAGAGGAUGAUCAGCCACACUGGGACUGAGACACGGCCCAGACUCCUACGGGAGGCAGCAGUCGGGAAUCUUGCGCAAUGGGCGAAAGCCUGACGCAGCAACACCGUGUGGGCGACGAAGGCCUUCGGGUCGUAAAGCCCUGUUGUUGGGGACGAAGGGCGAAGGGUUAAUAGCCC
rnacentral:rRNA from 1 species